rnacentral:rRNA from 1 species
AGAAUCAACGCUGGCGGCGUGCCUAACACAUGCAAGUCGAACGAGAAAGUGGAGCAAUCCACAAGUAAAGUGGCGCACGGGUGAGUAACACGUGACUAACCUACCCUUGAGUGGGGGAUAACCUAGGGAAACCUGGGCUAAUACCGCAUAAUACCUACGGGUCAAAGGAGCAAUUCGCUUAAGGAGGGGGUCGCGGCCGAUUAGUUAGUUGGCGGGGUAAUGGCCCACCAAGACGAUGAUCGGUAUCCGGCCUGAGAGGGCGCACGGACACACUGGAACUGAAACACGGUCCAGACUCCUACGGGAGGCAGCAGUGGGGAAUUUUGCGCAAUGGGGGAAACCCUGACGCAGCAACGCCGCGUGGAGGAUGAAGUCCCUUGGGACGUAAACUCCUUUCGAUCGGGACGAUAAUGACGGUACCGGAAGAAGAAGCCCCGGCUAACUUCGUGCCAGCAGCCGC